UACGUAGGGUGCAAGCGUUAAUCGGAAUUACUGGGCGUAAAGCGUGCGCAGGCGGUUGUGCAAGACCGAUGUGAAAUCCCCGGGCUUAACCUGGGAAUGGCAUUGGUGACUGCACGGCUAGAGUGUGUCAGAGGGGGGUAGAAUUCCACGUGUAGCAGUGAAAUGCGUAGAGAUGUGGAGGAAUACCGAUGGCGAAGGCAGCCCCCUGGGAUAACACUGACGCUCAUGCACGAAAGCGUGAGGAGCAAACAGG
rnacentral:rRNA from 1 species